CCCACCAAGUCAUCCUGAGCUCACUUGAUCUUGUCUGAUCUUGGAAGCUAAGCAUUGUUGGGUCUGGUUAGUACUUAGAUGGAAGGUCAGCCAGGACUAGCGGGUACUGUAGGGU
rnacentral:rRNA from 1 species